rnacentral:rRNA from 1 species
GACGAACGCUGGCGGCGUGGAUUAGGCAUGCAAGUCGAACGGUAUCAUCCUUUCGGGGGUGAGAGAGUGGCGAACUGGUGAGUAACACGUAGGUUAUCUACCCUCAAGACGGGGACAACCCAGGGAAACUUGGGCUAAUACCGGAUGUGAGCAACUUUUAGUUGUUUGAAAGGUGGCGUAAGCUGUCGCUUGGGGAUGAGCCUGCGUCCUAUUAGUUAGUUGGUGAGGUAACGGCUCACCUAGGCAAUGAUAGGUAGGCGGCCUUAACGGGUGGUCGCCCACACUGGGAUUGAGAUACGGCCCAGACUCCUACGGGAGGCAGCAGUCGAGAAUAGUCUACAAUGGUCGGAAGACUGAUAGUGCGACGCCGCGUGAACGAUGAAUCCCUUCGGGGUGUAAAGUUCUUUUAUAUGUGAGCAGUGCUUCUUAUAUUAACAGUAUGGGGAGAGAGAUAUUAGCAUAUGAAUAAGCAACGGCUAAACUCCGUGCCCAGCAGCCGCGGU